UACGUAGGGGGCAAGCGUUGUCCGGAAUCAUUGGGCGUAAAGCGCGUGUAGGCGGUUGUUCAAGUCAGGUGUGAAAGCCUUGAGCUCAACUCAAGAAAUGCACUUGAUACUGGAUGACUAGAGGACCGGAGAGGAUAGUGGAAUUCCCAGUGUAGUGGUGAAAUACGUAGAGAUUGGGAAGAACACCAGUGGCGAAGGCGGCUAUCUGGACGGUUUCUGACGCUAAGACGCGAAAGCGUGGGGAGCAAACAGG
rnacentral:rRNA from 1 species